rnacentral:rRNA from 1 species
GUACGGCCGCAAGGCUAAAACUCAAAGGAAUUGACGGGGCCGCACAAGCGGCGGAGCAUGCGGAUUAAUUCGAUGCAACGCGAAGAACCUUACCAAGGCUUGACAUGAGAGGUAAUCCGGCAGAGAUGUCGGGGUCCGUAAGGGCCUCUCACAGGUGGUGCAUGGUUGUCGUCAGCUCGUGUCGUGAGAUGUUGGGUUAAGUCCCGCAACGAGCGCAACCCUUGUUCUAUGUUGCCAGCGCGUAAUGGCGGGGACUCAUAGGAGACUGCCGGGGUCAACUCGGAGGAAGGUAGGGAUGAGGUCAAAUCAUCAUGCCCCUUAUGUCUUGGGCUUCACGCAUGCUACAAUGGCCAGUACAAAGGGCUGCGAGACCGUAAGGUGGAGCGAAUCCCAAAAAGCUGGUCUCAGUUCGGAUCGGGGUCUGCAACUCGACCCCGUGAAGUCGGAGUCGCUAGUAAUCGCAGAUCAGCAACGCUGCGGUGAAUACGUUCCCGGGCCUUGUACACACCG